UACGGGGGGGGUAAGCGUUGUUCGGAAUUACUGGGCGUAAAGGGCUCGUAGGCGGCCAACUAAGUCAGACGUGAAAUCCCUCGGCUUAACCGGGGAACUGCGUCUGAUACUGGAUGGCUUGAGUGUGGGAGAGGGAUGCGGAAUUCCAGGUGUAGCGGUGAAAUGCGUAGAUAUCUGGAGGAACACCGGUGGCGAAGGCGGCAUCCUGGACCACGACUGACGCUGAGUGAGCGAAAGCCAGGGGAGCAAACGGG
rnacentral:rRNA from 1 species